rnacentral:rRNA from 1 species
CGGACGGGUGAGUAAUGUCUGGGAAACUGCCUGAUGGAGGGGGAUAACUACUGGAAACGGUAGCUAAUACCGCAUAACGUCGCAAGACCAAAGAGGGGGACCUUCGGGCCUCUUGCCAUCAGAUGUGCCCAGAUGGGAUUAGCUAGUAGGUGGGGUAACGGCUCGCCUAGGCGACAAUCCCUAGCUGGUCUGAGAGGAUGACCAGCCACACUGGAACUGAGACACGGUCCAGACUCCUACGGGAGGCAGCAUG